UACGUAGGGGGCAAGCGUUAUCCGGAAUUACUGGGUGUAAAGGGUGAGUAGGCGGCAUGGUAAGCCAGAUGUGAAAGCCUUGGGCUUAACCCGAGGAUUGCAUUUGGAACUAUCAAGCUAGAGUACAGGAGAGGAAAGCGGAAUUCCUAGUGUAGCGGUGAAACGCGUAGAUAUUAGGAAGAACACCAGUGGCGAAGGCGGCUUUCUGGACUGAAACUGACGCUGAGGCACGAAAGCGUGGGGAGCGAACAGG
rnacentral:rRNA from 1 species